AGUUUCCGCAGUCGAUGAUGGCGUUGUAGGAGGCGUUUACCGAGCCGAAGUAGUACUGGGUCUGUUUCAUGACGCAGCUGCUCUCGCGCGUCUCGGGGCUCCCCUCGGCCUCCGCGGGGUCUGCGAGGGCCCAGAGCGCCUCAGCUCCGCCCACAGACCCUGGCAAGGUCUCCGGCCUCCCUCAGUCGUAGACCCCACCCUCCCCAUGGAGUCGUCUUAGCUCAGAUUGGGGACCCGGACUUGAGGAGGCGCCUCCAAAGCCCUACCUACCUGCUUGGAACCAGCUGUGGUAGAUGAGGCCGUAGAGAAGCUGCUGGAACAGGGACCUGCAGCGCACGGGGAGCCGAGUGCAGCACCAGGAAUCCUCCAUCAUCAAUGAGGACACAGAGCUGCGGCGGUAGAAGCUGGCAUUGAAGGGCUCAGGGUUCUCUGUCCAGUCCUCAGCUGCCCUGGAGCACCCAAGAGGCAGACUGGCUGGGUGAUGCCUACGUGUUGAGAUCCUGGUCCCUCCACACACGCUCUACCAGCUGCUGCGUGAUGCCCGUGUCCAAGAUCAGGUUGUGCAGAAGGAAGUUGUUGCCUGGAACAGGAGGGGAGGGGUGGGGGUGGGGGCAUCUUCUUGCAGCUCCUUGCCCACCCUCACCCCCACCCUUAAGGCUCCACCAGGAGCCUCCUCCAUGACCUGGCCCUGGCCCAGGCCCAGCCCUUAGCUUGUGCCUGCUUAUUUCCACACCUGCCCGGCCUCUGGGUUCCUCUGGGCUGGCCCCAUGCUGCCUGGGCACUGCCCAGAGCCAGCUGCCCUGCCAGGCACUCACACUGCUUGGAGUCUGGAGUCACUUUCUCCAUGAGCUCAAUAAAGUUUUUCAGGAACUCGG
rnacentral:lncRNA from 1 species